GACGAACGCUGGCGGCGUGCUUAACACAUGCAAGUCGAACGGAAAGGCCCUUCGGGGUACUCGAGUGGCGAACGGGUGAGUAACACGUGGGUGAUCUGCCCUGCACUUUGGGAUAAGCCUGGGAAACUGGGUCUAAUACCGAAUAGGACCACGCGCUUCAUGGUGUGUGGUGGAAAGCUUUUGCGGUGUGGGAUGGGCCCGCGGCCUAUCAGCUUGUUGGUGGGGUAAUGGCCUACCAAGGCGACGACGGGUAGCCGGCCUGAGAGGGUGACCGGCCACACUGGGACUGAGAUACGGCCCAGACUCCUACGGGAGGCAGCAGUGGGGAAUAUUGCACAAUGGGCGCAAGCCUGAUGCAGCGACGCCGCGUGAGGGAUGACGGCCUUCGGGUUGUAAACCUCUUUCACCAGGGACGUAGCGUAAGUGACGGUACCUGGAGAAGAAGCACCGGCCAACUACGUG
rnacentral:rRNA from 1 species